AGUGAACGCUGGCGGUAGGCCUAACACAUGCAAGUCGAACGGCCGCACAGUAAGAUCUUGCCCUUACGGUUGGCGAGGGGCGGACGGGUGAGGAAUACAUCGGAAUCUACUUUUUCGUGGGGGAUAACGUAGGGAAACUUACGCUACUACCGCAUACUACCUACGGGUGAAAGCAGGGGAUCUUCGGACCUUGCGCGAUUGAAUGAGCCGAUGUCGGAUUAGCUAGUUGGCGGGGUAAAGGCCCACCAAGGCGACGAUCCGUAGCUGGUCUGAGAGGAUGAUCAGCCACACUGGAACUGAGACACGGUCCAGACUCCUACGGGAGGCAGCAGUGGGGAAUAUUGGGCAAUGGGCGAAAGCCUGAUCGAGCAACACCGCGUGAGUGAAGAAGGCCUUCGGAUUGUAAAGCCCUGUUAUUAGGGAAGAAAAGCAGCGGGAUAAUACGCCGCUGUUCUGACGGUACCCAAAGAGUAAGCACCGGCUAACUUCGUG
rnacentral:rRNA from 1 species